rnacentral:rRNA from 1 species
UACGUAGGUGGCAAGCGUUGUCCGGAAUUAUUGGGCGUAAAGCGCGCGCAGGCGGUUCCUUAAGUCUGAUGUGAAAGCCCACGGCUCAACCGUGGAGGGUCAUUGGAAACUGGGGAACUUGAGUGCAGGAGAGAAGAGUGGAAUUCCACGUGUAGCGGUGAAAUGCGUAGAGAUGUGGAGGAACACCAGUGGCGAAGGCGACUCUUUGGCCUGUAACUGACGUGAGGCGCGAAAGCGUGGGGAGCAAACAGG